rnacentral:rRNA from 1 species
GAACGUAGAUGACUGUAGUGAAGCUUACAUCUCUUCGGAGCAUUUACGAGGUGCUGCAUGGUUGUCGUCAGCUCGUGCCGUGAGGUGUCGGGUUAAGUCCCAUAACGAGCGCAACCCCUACCUUUAGUUGCCAUCAGGUAAUGCUGGGGACUCUAAAGGAACUGCCUACGCAAGUAGUGAGGAAGCGGGGGAUGACGUCAAAUCAGCACGGCCCUUACGUCCAGGGCUACACACGUGCUACAAUGGCCGAUACAGAGGGCAGCUACCUGGUGACAGGAUGCAAAUCUCCAAAGUCGGUCUCAGUUCGGAUCGGAGUCUGCAACCCGACUCCGUGAAGUUGGAUUCGCUAGUAAUCGCGCAUCAGCCAUGGCGCGGUGAAUACGUUCCCGGGCCUU